rnacentral:tRNA from 1 species
GGGGAUGUGGUCCAAUGGUAAGAUCUCUAUACCUGCGCUGUGAACUCAGGAUAGUAGGAUUCCAGUUCGAGUCUGGGCUUCUCCG